GGGCGGAACGGUGUCUCCUUCACUUCGCCCUCCAGCUGCUGCAGCUGCAGCCCGACCGCGAGCGUGCCAAGCGGCUUCAGCAGCUAGCGGAGCGGUGGCGGCGGCCCCCCUCAGGACACCACCAGAUUCCCCUUUUCCCGCGGCCUCGCCAUGGCGACCCACGGACAGACUUGCGCGCGUCCAAUGUGUAUUCCUCCAUCAUAUGCUGACCUUGGCAAAGCUGCCAGAGAUAUUUUCAACAAAGGAUUUGGUUUUGGGUUGGUGAAACUGGAUGUGAAAACAAAGUCUUGCAGUGGCGUGGAAUUUUCAACGUCCGGUUCAUCUAAUACAGACACUGGUAAAGUUACUGGGACCUUGGAGACCAAAUACAAGUGGUGUGAGUAUGGUCUGACUUUCACAGAAAAGUGGAACACUGAUAACACUCUGGGAACAGAAAUCGCAAUUGAAGACCAGGUAACAUUUUGAAAAUUUUAGUAUUAAUUUUAUUAAUUUAUUUUUGUAUUUCAAAAAAAGAAAACAAAUUACUUUUCUUUCAAAAUAGAUUUGUCAAGGUUUGAAACUGACAUUUGAUACUACCUUCUCACCAAACACAGGAAAGAAAAGUGGUAAAAUCAAGUCUUCUUACAAGAGGGAGUGUAUAAACCUUGGUUGUGAUGUUGACUUUGAUUUUGCUGGACCUGCAAUCCAUGGUUCAGCUGUCUUUGGUUAUGAGGGCUGGCUUGCUGGCUACCAGAUGACCUUUGACAGUGCCAAAUCAAAGCUGACAAGGAAUAACUUUGCAGUGGGCUACAGGACUGGGGACUUCCAGCUACACACUAAUGU
rnacentral:sRNA from 1 species